GAGUACGGAAAGAAUGAAGCAAG
rnacentral:piRNA from 1 species